AUGCCAGCUGUAAGUGUGGUGGGAAGAGAGCAAAGAAAGAAAAGAUUGUUCUUAGUGUACAAAGGGACAUAUGUAGCCUGUUGCUCAGAGAGUAAUUUCUCUAAAUGUGAUCUCUUCUCAACAGAUCUAGUCUCACUCUUUCCACCUGAGCUGAUAAGUACUUGCCUCUCUUCAGAUCCUUGUGGAGUCUCUGUAACCUGUAUCAUGAAUGACACAUCUAGCAGAAGACUGCACCGUUGUCCAGCAGCUCCUUAGAGAAGUAAGCAUAGGUGAUUCCCCAAAUUCCAAAGGUAUUUAAUGUAUCAAGCAGAAAUAUAUAGACUCUAAAGAAAAGAAAGCAACUGUUCCACUGAGGUCUGAGCCAAGGCACUAGGGUACAUGGGCUCUGUCACAUAUGCUUUCACGUGUCUAGUAAAGCCAUGGUAAAGUAAAACCUAUAAAAGUGCAAGUAUGAAAAUAGGGACAUAAAAACCAAUCAAAUGCAAAUCCCUUUCAGGGACUUCAAAGUCAAC
rnacentral:lncRNA from 12 species